CCUACGGGGGGCUGCAGUGGGGGAUAUUGCACAAUGGGGGAAACCCUGAUGCAGCGACGCCGCGUGUGGGAAGACGGUCCUCUGGAUUGUAAACCACUGUCCCCAGGGACGAAGAUGACGGUACCUGGGGAGGAAGCUCCGGCUAACUACGUGCCAGCAGCCGCGGUAAUACGUAGGGAGCGAGCGUUGUCCGGAAUUACAGGGUGUAACGGGAGCGUAGGCGGGACUGCAAGUUGGGUGUCAAAUCUACCGGCUCAACCGGUAGCCGCACUCAAAACUGCAGUUCUUGAGUGAAGUAGAGGCAGGCGGAAUGCCUAGUGUAGCGGUGAAAUGCGUAGAUAUUAGGAGGAACACCAGUGGCGAAGGCGGCCUGCUGGGCUUUUACUGACGCUGAGGCUCGAAAGUGUGGGGAGCAAACAGGAUUAGAUACCCGAGUAGUC
rnacentral:rRNA from 1 species